rnacentral:rRNA from 1 species
UACAGAGACUGCAAGCGUUAUUCGGAUUCACUGGGCGUAAAGGGUGCGCAGGCGGCCGGGUGUGUCAGAUGUGAAAUCCCGAGGCUCAACCUCGGAACUGCGUCUGAAACUACUUGGCUAGAGUACUGGAGAGGGUAACGGAAUUCACGGUGUAGCAGUGAAAUGCGUAGAUAUCGUGAGGAACACCAGAGGCGAAGGCGGUUACCUGGACAGUUACUGACGCUCAGGCACGAAAGCGUGGGGAGCAAAAGGG